rnacentral:misc_RNA from 1 species
UCGCGUAACGACCAUUUCAUUGGCUAUAACUUCCUCUCUUCCUCGCCCUCAUGGUAAUGGGUAGGGAUAUGGAGCCCGACCCGGAUUCCCAUGAGGGCGAGGAAGAGAGGAAUUUAUAGCCAAUGAAAUGGUCGUUACGCGAGUCAGGGGGCGAGUAGAGGCCAAGCCAAUCUAGUUUGGAGGGCGAAUCAACAUUGGACCAGGAGACGGUGACGGUAUCGCCAGAUUUGGAGAGGAUGGUAGGUGUGACGGAAAUUUUGACUUUGGCGAGAGAGGAAGAGGUGAGAAGAGAGAAGAGGAGGAGAAGUAGAGGGAUUUUCAUGGUGAGAGAUAGUGAACAAUUUGGUAGUGGUGGAAGAGGCGGAGAAGGGGGAGGAGCGUGGUGGUGAGCCCAAUAUUGUUGAUCAGAGAAUGGGCAAUGUUAUGGUUAUCUAUCAGAGAAAGC